AAUCUCCUCUUCAACUUCUGUACUAGACUUUUAAAAUGAUGUGAAUAUUCCUCACCUUUUUAACCCAGUUAAAGCACAAACCCCGCUCACCACAGAUUCUGAAGAUUUCAUUGGUCGUGUCAAUCACAUGUGACCGGAUGGUUUAUCCCUCCGGUUUUUAUUGGAUAGAAUUUGGGGCUGUUAGAAGCAAUUCGAGUUUCGAUCGUGGCGUGUCACUUCCGAUUAUCCUCGGGGUUGUGUUGCCCCUGCCCCCUUCAGCAAGCAUCCCCAGGAGCUUUGUCUUUCUCGACUUCACUCUUACUGUGUGCGAUCCUCUCUGGCAUUUGGGAUCAUCCCUUCUGUGCCUAACCUUGUGUGUUGAGUGUGGUUGUGGGGAGUCGCUGUUGUUCUGCAAUCAAAGAUAGAAGGAACACACACUCAUCCGUUUUUGUGUUUCAUGUUGCUUGUGCCGGUGUGUUCCGGACAGUUUUUUUUUGUUUGUGUCACGAAUCCGGUCCAUGGUCUUCAGUCUGAUUGCCACCAGAGGUCACCCUUCCAUCAUAUUGACUCUCACACCACACAGACUGUUUCACAUUACCUUGGACUACAUUUCCCAUCAGCCAUCUCACUAAUCACACGCUCACCUGAUCAUACGCGCACAGCUGUAUCCAAUCAGACAUGCUUCAUAAGCCCUGGACUUCCUCGUUCAGUCGCCGAGUAUUGUAUGCACAUAUCGCUACCAUAGCUGAUAGUUACCUUACAGAGCCUGUCUUAGUUUUCUUAGUCUUGCCUUGCCUGUUUCGGAUUGUGUUUUCCCCUGCCUGAAUUAUUGCUGUAUUUCCUGGAUUAACCCUUUGCCUUGCCCUGUUGGAUACUGUUCGCCGAUCGAAGACCCACGCUUGCCCUAGGAUUACUCUUUGUCUUGCCUGUGUUGUACCUGUUUGCCAUUGUUCAACCCUGCCUGUGCUUAUGACCAUGUCUUUAAAUAAAAUCCUGCAAAUGGA